AGAAUCAACGCUGGCGGCGUGCCUAACACAUGCAAGUCGAACGAGAAAGUGGAGCAAUCUAUGAGUAAAGUGGCGCACGGGUGAGUAACACGUGACUAACCUACCCUUGAGUGGGGGAUAACCUAGAGAAAUCUGGGCUAAUACCGCAUAAUACCUUCGGGUCAAAGGAGCAAUUCGCUUAAGGAGGGGGUCGCGGCCGAUUAGUUAGUUGGCGGGGUAAUGGCCCACCAAGACUAUGAUCGGUA
rnacentral:rRNA from 1 species